GCAAGGAUUCAUUUGUGUCUUUGUACCCCCAGCUCCUGGCUCGAGGUCUGGCAAAUAGCAUUUAAUACGUGAUUGUUGAGAUGUUAGAAUGGAGGCUUCUUGAGGGGGGGAACUGUUUCACAUUUGUAUCCCUAGUCUUGGCAAGGAGAGGUGCUCAAGAAAUAAAUGCUUAUUGAAUUGACUUGAAUUCACCCAUUUUACAGAUUAGGAAGAAGCCUGAAGCCCCAAGAAGGGAAGGGAUUUACCAGGUGCCAUGAAGCUGAGCUGUGAUAGAACCAGGGCAGAUCUUGCGGCUUAAGGCCUGAGUCAGACUCUCUAAGCCAUUCUGCCCCUGGAAGGCAUAAGCCUCAGAGGAGCCUCUGCCUUCCCCUUCCACAAAAGUCUGGUGUUUCUUCUGAAACGUCCAGUUUCAGAGCCAAGUCCCUGAGGUGAGAUGUCCAGACAAAUGCUGGGGAAGCAGCUUCCUUACAGACUCUGGGGCCCUCAGGAAGACCCCCGCCAGCUGAGAGGGCAGUGAAAUUCUAAGAGUCCGUCACAUGAGCACACCCCUUCUGCACGGUUCAGCCACCCUCUGGAGAAGAAACAGAGCCCAAAGAUGGUCUGGAAUGGCAGGAAGAGCAGAAAGUAUAUUUGGAUUUGCCCUGGUUCCAGUUAAACAUGUGAAGGCUUGAUGAACCUACUUCUAGACGUUGGCAUAUGAAGACCCAGGGCUAUGAAGAGAUGAAGAAUCUUCUAGGUUUGCCAAGGAACAGGAAAGAUUGAUGACUCCUGAGUUGCUGAGUCAUUGCUGAGGGUGAAUGAAUAUUAUGAGAGGAGGCUGCCUAGGCAACUGGUGGAUCCAUCAGAUGUAUCAAAGCUUCCACUGGCAAAUGGAUUCGGUGGCAGAGUCCAUCAGAGUGGCUGUGGUCAGUGACAAAAAGCAUCUCUAAUGCCCUGAGGAUGGCAUUAGCUUCCAGGAUUGUGAUCCUUAUUAUGGAGAGAAAUGCUGACUAUGAACUCUAGAAAAGCACCAGUCCUCAGAGUCCAGAAGAGACCUACAUUUGUUUCAUCAAAAACACAAUUAACACUUAAUAAAUGUUUGUUGAGUUGACCUAAGGGAAGUCUUCCACAAAAGAGAGAAAAGAACUUUUGGAAGCAGGAGGUGCUCCUUAGUUCAAUGAGUUUUCUACAUUUAUACUUGUCUAUCUUGUACUUUGCAAUUGUGUCCAGUCUCUGCAGACACAUUAUAUGUGCAAAGGGUGAGUACUGCAAACCCCAGCCCCCCCAGUUUGGGGGAAUUGUUUUCUAACUAUUGUUACUUCUAUGCGUUAUCAUUAUACCCCUUUUCUAAAAGCUAAUAGAAUUCUGCUGGCUGAUUGACUGUGGGGAGCAUCCUGAAUGGGGGCUCAAGAAUGAUAAUAUUAGAAAUCCUCAGUCCUUCAGGGUUACUCCUAGAAUAAGCCCUGAGGGGUACUACAAUCCAUCCUCUUCUCUCCAUUUACAUAGCCAUUUCCCUAGUUCAGGCUCUUUUGGACCCUUGCAAUAGCCUUUUAACUAAUCUCUAGCUUAGAGAUCAGUGUGGUACAGUAGAAAGUGCCCCAGAUUUAGAUACCAAAUAUUAGAGUUAAAAUCCUGACUCUGCUUUAUGAUCUUAUAAGCCUAUAACUCCUCUGAGCCUCAGUUUCCUCCUCUGUAAUAUGACAACAUUGAACUCAAUGAUCUUUAAGUAUCUUUCCAGCUCCCUCUUCAAUUCAUUUUUCAUGCCAGAAUGAGCAUGUGAUUCAAGACAUUGAUGGAUCUAAGGUCUUGUGUAUGUGGCCACCACCUCCAAUGUAUUGAAUGAUGCUGGUAGCACCCUCUCCACACCUUUUUAUCUUGAGUGAUUCUUGUCUUUGUUCUUCCAUAGGACCUCCACAGAACAGCCACCUUCUACUGAAAACCUUCACACUGAUAGUUUCCCUCUGUUGAUUAUCUCCAAUUUAUCCUGUCUGUAUCUUGUAUGUGUAUGAUGUAUCUCCCU